rnacentral:rRNA from 2 species
CUACGGGAGGCAGCAGUGGGGAAUUUUGGACAAUGGGGGAAAGCCUGAUCCAGCCAUGCCGCGUGUGUGAAGAAGGUCUUCGGGUUGCAAAGCUCUUUAAGUUGGGAAGAAGGGGAGUAGGUUAUUACUUUGGGGGUUUGACGAUACAAAAAGAAUUAGCGCUGGCUAACCUCGUGCCAGCAGCCGCGGUAAU